AAAGAAAAUACUAAUUUCAAAAGAAAGAAAAAUUAUCAAAGACAUCCCACCCAAAUCUCCUCUCAAAUCCCUAAAAAGAAAACCUAUUUUCGCAGCUUCUCUUAGAACAAUUCAAGUUCAUUUCGCAUCCCCAAUUUUGCUAUCCCAUCCGAAUUCCUCUGUCCCAACUAUAAAUCUCAAAAACUUUCAGGAAUAGUAGUAUGAAAUGUACUCUCUUCUCCCUUAAUCCUUCUCUUCCUCUACUGUGAAUUGGAAUAACUCCAGAUCAGCAACAAAGGAUUUUUCAAACACUCAAGGCUACCUUCAAGUUAAUUAUCAAGAUAUCACUUCUAGUUCUUCCCUUAAAUGUCUUAUGUUUCUCUCAUGGUUUCUGUUGCACUACAAAAAGUACAACUUAGAGAUGUGUUGGCUUUGGACCUAUAUGCUACCAAGUAUUUGUAAUUGUACAGUUCGAAAAAUAGUUAGUUGCAAGAUCCUAUUAAGCAUUCAUCAGAUAUGCAUGGAAAUAUUAUCCUGUGCGGAAGGAGAAUGCUCGUAAGUAAACUUUGUAUUCAUUUGUAUCAUUAGCUUUAGAUACUAAGGGUCUAUUUAGUUAGUAUAGUGUGAUAAUUAACUUUUGUCUUUCGAAGGAGAAAUGCUAUAAUGAUAAGUCUGCUAUAUCAAAAUAUAGGGUGCUAUUUACUUUGCUAA